rnacentral:pre_miRNA from 1 species
CAAGUACUCCCUCCGUCCAAAAAUACUUGUCAUCAAAAUGGAUAAAAAAGAUGUAUCUAGAACUAAUAUACAUCUAGAUACAUCCCCUUUCAUUCAUUUUGAUGACAACUAUUUUCGGAUGGAGGGAGUACUAC